UAAGUAAGAGAGCCCUCUUCUCCUGGUUUAACUAAGUUUAAAACACAAGACUAGAAGUACAACGCUCCAAACGCUAGCGUACAUACCAGCCCUGACGCACCCAGGCCGCUGGUUAACGAACGUAGAGAACGACAUACCACUACUACUGGCCGAGGACAAUUUAGGUUAUGCUGACGUGAAGAAGCGAAGUCCUUCUUCCAUAGGGGGAAUACGCUUCUAAAGAUCGAACGGAUACACAACAUUACAAUUAUUCACGUAAGCCGGUUUGUUAAACACCUGGUUUACUUGAACAACGCCUAUAUCUUCUUGUUCCGCCGUGUGUUCCUCGACGGACUUAACGUCACCGUCGCCACAACAUUAUACUUAGUUCGAACACUUCUUGUUAAAGCAAUGAAAUUACUGUGUGUGAACGUCA
rnacentral:rRNA from 1 species